UAAGACUGGAAGUGGAUUUUGUUAGUUUAUUGCCUUCAAUUUUUAGCUUAAGUUUUUAUUUUUCUUGCAUAUAGCAUCACUUGAUGAUCCCCAAAGUUUAGGAUACACACCGUGCACAAUAAAAUCCACAGCAAAUAUAAUCAGCACAGCAACAGGAACCCAAAUGGCUUACUGCCCAGAUACAACACAAACUGAGAUUGAAACACAGGCAGUGGCCACACCGAAUAAGUUUCUUGAGAUAAAAUAACCCAGGAAAUAAGGUGAUUUGUGACCCCU
rnacentral:lncRNA from 1 species